GGUUGUAAGCUAAAAUAAAUAGAUAAAAAAUUUGAAUGGCCUAAAUUUGUAUUAAAGGCCGUGUCAUUUCCCUCUUCUUAUCUCUCAACAUAAGCAUUCAUCUCUCUCUCCCUCUAACAGUUCAACUGUUACUGCAUAAUGGACCCUUACAAGUACCGUCCAUCAAGUGCCUACAAUUCCCCAUUCUUCACUACAAAUUCUGGUGCUCCUGUUUAUAA